rnacentral:rRNA from 1 species
UACGUAGGGCGCGAGCGUUGUCCGGAAUCAUUGGGCGUAAAGAGCUCGUAGGCGGCCCUGUCGCGUCUGCUGUGAAAUCCCGGGGCUUAACCCCGGGCGUGCAGUGGAUACGGGCUGGCUGGAGGCAGGCAGGGGAGAACGGAAUUCCCGGUGUAGCGGUGAAAUGCGCAGAUAUCGGGAGGAACACCGGUGGCGAAGGCGGUUCUCUGGGCCUGUACUGACGCUGAGGAGCGAAAGCGUGGGGAGCGAACAGG